CCUACGGGGGGCAGCAGUGGGGAAUAUUGGACAAUGGGGGCAACCCUGAUCCAGCCAUGCCGCGUGUGUGAAGAAGGCCCUCGGGUUGUAAAGCACUUUCAGUGAGGAAGAACGCCUGGUGGUUAAUACCCAUCAGGAAAGACAUCACUCACAGAAGAGGCACCGGCUAACGCCGUGCCCGCAGCCGCGGUAAUACGGAGGGUGCGAGCGUUAAUCGGAAUUACUGGGCGUAAAGCGCGCGUAGGUGGCUUGAUAAGCCGGUUGUGAAAGCCCCGGGCUCAACCUGGGAACGGCAUCCGGAACUGUCAAGCUAGAGUGCAGGAGAGGAAGGUAGAAUUGCCGGUGUAGCGGUGAAAUGCGUAGAGAUCGGGAGGAAUACCAGUGGCGAAGGCGGCCUUCUGGACUGACACUGACACUGAGGUGCGAAAGCGUGGGUAGCAAACAGGAUUAGAUACCCCAGUAGUC
rnacentral:rRNA from 1 species